rnacentral:rRNA from 1 species
UACGGGGGGAGCAAGCGUUGUUCGGAUUUACUGGGCGUAAAGGGCGCGUAGGCGGCGCAACAAGUCACUUGUGAAAUCUCCGGGCUUAACUCGGAAAGGUCAAGUGAUACUGUUGUGCUAGAGUGCGGAAGGGGCAACUGGAAUUCUCGGUGUAGCGGUGAAAUGCGUAGAUAUCGAGAGGAACACCAGAGGUGAAGACGGGUUGCUGGGCUGACACUGACGCUGAGGCGCGAAAGCCAGGGGAGCAAACGGG